CUGCCUCUCAUUGGCUCUUUCAUUGCCUCCUGUCAGAGGACUGGGACCUGAAAAGAACAUGACCAAAUACCACCUCUGGUUCUUGCUCUUCUGCCUGCUCACAGAGCCAAGAGCUUCCAGAGAGAAUUAUGCCCCAGUAAUGGUGACAGGGAUUCUGGAAGAGUCAGCUAUUCUACCUGCAGAAAUACCAAGUGGACAUAAACUUGAGAACAUUAACUGGGCCUCUCGUACACCUGUUGCUCUUGUGCAACCAGAAGGACAAUCUUUCAAGGUCAUUACAACCCAUCAAAAUUAUAGGGGACGACUGAAUGUCCCACCCAACACGUAUAACUUGAAGAUUAGCCCCCUGAAGAUGGAGGAUGCUGGAUUCUACAGAGCUGACAUAAAUCUUCAGAAUUCUGCAACUUCUACCAUCACCAUCACCAAGAACUAUACCCUGCAUGUCUACAGACGACUGGCACCACCAAAAAUUACUUGGAAUACUGUAGCCUCUGAGAACAAUAUCUGUAAUAUCACUCUGAUGUGCUUCAUGGAGGAGGGAAGAGAAGCUGUGAAGUACCAGUGGACUCCUCUGGGAGAACAAGCUGUUGAAUCCAAUGGGAAAUCUAGGCUUUUCAUCUUCCAAAGACCUGAGGAUGCUCCCAUAAAUUACACCUGCACAGCCAUGAACCCUGUCAGCAACAAUUCUCAAUCCAAACUUGUUCAAUAUCUUUGUGCAGGUGCUUUAGUCACUUUUGAUCCUCGCUGGUAUACUCUUCUGUCUGUCUUGGAAAUGGUGAUCGUCAUCAUUCUGACUGGCAUGGGAUUUUACCUGUGGCACAAGAAAAAACAAGGGGUCACACAUGGAAGGCACAACCAGAGGGAAUAUGUAUGGCCAGUGAACAUGAAUAAAGAGCCAAGAGCUUCCAGAGAGAAUUAUGCCCCAGUAAUGGUGACAGGGAUUCUGGAAGAGUCAGCUAUUCUACCUGCAGAAAUACCAAGUGGACAUAAACUUGAGAACAUUAACUGGGCCUCUCGUACACCUGUUGCUCUUGUGCAACCAGAAGGACAAUCUUUCAAGGUCAUUACAACCCAUCAAAAUUAUAGGGGACGACUGAAUGUCCCACCCAACACGUAUAACUUGAAGAUUAGCCCCCUGAAGAUGGAGGAUGCUGGAUUCUACAGAGCUGACAUAAAUCUUCAGAAUUCUGCAACUUCUACCAUCACCAUCACCAAGAACUAUACCCUGCAUGUCUACAGACGACUGGCACCACCAAAAAUUACUUGGAAUACUGUAGCCUCUGAGAACAACACCUGUAAUAUCACUCUGACGUGCUUCAUGGAGGAGGGAAGAGAAGCUGUGAAGUACCAGUGGACUCCUCUGGGAGAACAAGCUGUUGAAUCCAAUGGGAAAUCUAGGCUUUUCAUCUUCCAAAGACCUGAAAGAUGCUCCCAUAAAUUACACCUGCACAGCCAUGAACCCUGUCAGCAACAAUUCUCAAUCCAAACUUGUUCAAUAUCCUUGUGCAGGAAUGCCAAUGUCUUCCAGGUCACUUUGGUUUAUACUGGUGCCUCUCCUGGUAUUAGUCCUGUCAGCUGGGAUAUUGUUUUAUCUACAACACAAGAAAAAAAAAAGAUGCUGAUUCAGUAUCCGCUUCCCAGAUCAUGACCCCAAAAGACCUUCCCCCACUUUCAGAAAACCGACUCUAUGAUGAAAUUAGCAUACCCAAGGCAAUUGUCUCCAAUCCUCCAAAAGAAGAAGAAGCCUUGAAUACAAUUUAUUACACAGUGCAGAAGCCCCAAAAGAUUGAAAAUUCUUAUUCAUCUGCUACCAAACUUCUUGGGACCUCUACCAAUGAUUCUGUGAUCUAGAUGACAGUGAAGCUUAUUCUCUUCCCAGGAAAGGACAUUUGAUGGCAGGAAGACUUCAGCCUGUUAAAAGAAAUAUUGGUUCGGGCCUCAUCCUGGUCAAUGAGGCAAACUCAGGAAAAGAAAGGAGAAAGUAUUUUAUUAGCACACCAAGGCAGCAAGCAGUUAGAGUGCAACCAGACCCAUUAUGAACUGAGCCAGUUUUUAUAGACUGGAGUAAACAACUUUCAUAUAAGGGCAAAAGUAUGCUGAUUGGUGGUGCAAGACCGCAAUUGGACCUAUAUCAUUCCUCUGUCUUUAACUGCAUCAUCUUAAUCUCAGCUGCCUAUAAUACAAGGUAGGCCUUGGGAGUAGUACCUUACACUGGGGGAGACACCGUAAACAUAAGCAACAUACAAUCCCCAUGACAAAACAUAUGAGAAGGUCCACAAACAGAUACUCCAGCCAUGAGAGAUCAGGAAGCCAAGAAGUUAACCAUUGCCAUGGGGGACCAGCAUUCUUUCUCAUCCUCCUAGAACUCAUUUUUGUAUUGAGACCAGAUGGACGUGAAUGUUAUCAGAAUUAUCAGGAACCCAUAUGCAGCUCUCCUGACCUAAGAGGGCACAUCACCCUCCCCACUCUGUGAGGAGGUAAUCCAGAGGAGUCUGUUCUGUAAGACCACAUCUCCAAGGAUAUAGAUCUCUGCAUAGGUUCAUCCAUAGCAUCUGUGGAUUCAUUAACACGAAUCUGUAAAAAUUCAUUCAUUCUAUUGAAGAGUGCUAAACUGUGUCUGACCCAAUACACAGGCAAUAGGAUGGAUGGCUAUAUGUUUGUUCUGCAAGUAGGUGCUAAGAGGCAGGGUAGAUGCUUGGAAAACAAAAAGAUCUCUUUCCAUUCCUCACUGUCUCUGCCAAUUUUGAGGAAACUAAUAAGUUUUAUCGGGACACAAGAAAUGAAGUCCUUGUGGGGCUUUCCUAAAAAAUUUACUUGUGUGUGCCUGGCCUCCUAACUUAACACUUUCUCAGAAGACCAUUCCAUUCCCAAAUAGUCACAUUCUGUUUUAGGGGUACGUAUAAUUACGUACGUAUAAUUUGGCAUCUCAUUUUUUUGCCCUUGUGUCUCAUUUUGCUCAUAGCACAGUAUCAAUGGCCUAAUAACAUAGCUUAAACUCAGGGGAGGCCAGAAUUGUGAAAGGUUAGCAGUCUUUUUCCAACUAAAGGUAAAUGAGUGAGAGAAAUCAUUUUUCCAGCCUGUAACAAUACAAUUUCACAUUUUGUGUAAGUUUUCCUUAAUGAUUGCAAAAGCAUAGUCAUGCAAGUCCUGGACAUCUGAGCCCAUGCCUACCAGGGGGUAUCCCUUCCCCCAAGGCCAAAGGAACAUGUGCAUGUAUCCAGCAGUUGGUCCAGCUAAAGGCAUGGAGGGCAUUUUGGAUCAGACACACGUAAGUGCUGGGUCUCCUGUUCCAUCCCCAAGGGCAUAAAGCAGGGCAUAAAGUGAAGAAAACAAAUACAUGGUAGAUUGCAGAUGAAGUAUUAGGUCCUAAUUAUCAGAGUCAAACAAACAGGUGACCAAGGAUCAUUGAUUGCUGUUGAGGUUUCUGGCUGAUCAGAGUUUGCUGCUUCUGCUAAGCCAAGGUCAAUCACAGCAGGCUUCACAUGGGAAUGAUGUAUACAGGCUAUCUACUUGGCACCCUUGAUGGCAAUAUGUCUGGUCAGCAGGGUCUGGAAAGGCCCAUUCCAAGAGGGCUGGAGACUAGAUGUCUUCCUGAAGUUGCGGAUCCACACCUCACACAAAUUAAUAUAUCUACUUUUCCAAAGGCAGAAUUUGUGUCACGGCUGCCUCCUUCCAGACCUGUGAAACAGAGCUGGACAGAGAUCACAUAUCUCAUCAGGCUUUCAUCCCCUGUGGCCAGACUCAGGUUCUGAGGGUCCAACCUUGAAGUAGCAGUAGGUGAUCUACUGAACAGAAUUUCAAAAGGUGAUAAUCCACAGUCCUGCCUUCUAGAACAACACAAGGGGAAGUGCCUGAGGACAUUUUAACUGUGUUUCCUGGCAUAAUUUUCCAAAAAGGGUCUAUUUAACCACUCAACUCCCCCUGAUGAUUGUGUGAGUGAUAAGGGGUACAGAGGUUCCUGAAACACUUGGAGAGUUGCUUAGUUAUUUCUGCAGUAAAGUGUGGCCCCUGAUCUGACUCAAUAGUACAUGGCAGGCCAGAUCUUAGUAUUCUGUCCUUGAUCAGACACCUUGACACUGAGUUUGCUGCAGCAUGUUGUCACUGGCAAGGCCUCUACUCAAUGGUUCAAUUGUUGUCUGUAUACCAACACAUAACUGUAACCCAUAGACUUUGGCAGUUCAAUAAAGUCAGUCUGCAGGUGUUCAAAUGGUAGAGUCACCAACUUUCUC